GAUCCUGGCUCAGGACGAACGCUGGCGGCGCGCCUAACACAUGCAAGUCGAACGAGCAAGAGAGAGCUUGCUUUCUCGAGCGAGUGGCGAACGGGUGAGUAACGCGUGAGGAACCUGCCUCAAAGAGGGGGACAACAGUUGGAAACGACUGCUAAUACCGCAUAAGCCCACGACCCGGCAUCGGGUAGGGGGAAAAGGAGCAAUCCGCUUUGAGAUGGCCUCGCGUCCGAUUAGCUAGUUGGUGAGG
rnacentral:rRNA from 1 species